rnacentral:lncRNA from 1 species
UGAAAUUGUUGGAGACAAAUCAAAUGCCUAAAUGGCAAUUUGUUUGGAUAUAGUAUGCAAUCAUAGUGGUUUGUUUUAAUAAGUUCUCAUUUGAUGGGAUUAUCAUGGAUGUAGGAUAAUGCUUGACUGCCAUUAGCAGAUUCUGAUAAUAAUUUUGCUUUGAUCAAAAUCUGAAUUCUUUUCCCUUUCCCUUUUUUCUGGUUUUGUCAGCUAUUUUUUUUUUAAUGAAUUUUAACUGUUCCUUUUUCCCCCUGGGAUUUUUUUUGCUGGUUCUCCGUAAUUGCUUUCUACAUUUAUGUCAUAUAUGUUUUAACUUUUCAAUUCCCCAGACUAGAAACUUGCACAAUGUUCUCUGAAAGUUCUUUUUCUUCUUGUAUCUGACUUGAUCAGAACUAAGGAUUACAGGCGAAGUUUAGUCUCUUAGUUUCAUUGGAGGAGUAUUGUUGAUUGCAUGUUGAUAUUGGAGUAUUUUGUGGUGAAAACCUUAUGGCUGAAGAAGUUAUUUGAGAAUUUAAGGUGUCCAAAAAGCACUACGAAACAAGAGUAUAGUUAGCUGUUCAAAGUAUAGGUACUAGAGUACUUUUGGAUCAAUGUAACUUUUUAUUGUUUAUCUUGUUUCCUCCAAACGUG